AAUCAACGCUGGCGGCGUGCCUAACACAUGCAAGUCGAACGAGAAAGUGGAGCAAUCCAUGAGUAAAGUGGCGACCGGGUGAGUAACACGUGACUAACCUACCCUAAAGUGGGGAAUAACCUCGGGAAACCGGGGCUAAUACCGCAUAACAUUGCGCGGCUGAAAGGCCAUGCAUUCAAAGGAGCAAUUCGCUUUAGGAGGGGGUCGCGGUUGAUUAGCUAGUUGGUGAGGUAAUGGCNCACCAAGGCGAUGAUCAAUAGCCGGCCUGAGAGGGCGCACGGCCACACUGGAACUGAAACAACGGUCCAGACUCCUACGGGAGGGCAGCAGUGGGGAA
rnacentral:rRNA from 1 species